rnacentral:lncRNA from 13 species
CCUCCCUCCCUUCCUUGGGACUGUGUUAGACUUCCCAGGGUCCACUGGGGAUGUUUGAAAGAACUCCUCUCAUUGGAUGAGAACAUGAAUGGGGCGGGCAUAACCCAAGGGUAAAAACUCCUGCCAAAGCUGCCGAGACGGUAUCCUUUUUCUGGAUCCCCUUCCACGAAAGCGUGGGAGCUGUCUUUUCACUCUGCCUAAUAAUCUGCACUUCCGCACACACUCUUUGGGUCCAUGAGUUCUAUUUAAACGAGUUGAAAUGCUUCGAUUACUGUAAAUAUCUAUACUUCCAAGUUUUACAGAAGAAAAGGAAAGACAAGCCAAGAAGGACAGAUCCCUGGGGAACAUGGAGAAAGAAAGUAGACUGAGGAAUCUUAAGAGGCCGUGGGUCCUUGCAGUGUGUUCAUACAGGCAUGCUGAACAGUAAGUCCAAGAUUAUAUUUUCAUAAAGGAAAUAGCAUAAUUGGCUAUUUCCUAAAGUCACCUAAGCCCAGCCCAAAGGAUAUAUUUUCAGGGACAACAAUAGCUCAAAUUUUUAUAGCACUUUAUAUUAUCUUGUUUGAUCUCAUCUGAUCUGCACAAGUCUGUAAGAUAGGUUACAAUUAUCCAAGAAGAACUUAAUAGUAGAAAGGUUAAAUCACUUUCCCACAAUCCAGAAUCAGGCUGGCAGUCUGUUGCUAUAAUUUCCUGUAUGAAAUUUUACUGAACCAAGCAGAUUUACACUAAAAAGGAAAAUUCACAGCCCCAUUAUUCUCAGAAUAAACACACAAGGGUUAUCUAGCUUGAAACGAAG